AUCGCUUCUCGGCCUUUUGGCUAAAUCAAAGUGUAGUAUCUGUUCUAUCAGUUUAAAAUAUCUGAUACUACCCCCACUGGGUACUUCGUAUUAAACUGAUUUUUGGGACACAGGUGAGAUGCAGGGCUUGCUCCGCUCUUACCCACGGGUUGGGCCCGGUAUUGCAUACCUCCGGGAACGGCCCACUCCUC